rnacentral:rRNA from 1 species
AGAUUGAACGCUGGCGGCAGGCCUAACACAUGCAAGUCGAGCGGUAGAGAGGUGCUUGCAUCUCUUGAGAGCGGCGGACGGGUGAGUAAUGCCUAGGAAUCUGCCUAGUGGUGGGGGAUAACGUUCGGAAACGGACGCUAAUACCGCAUACGUCCUACGGGAGAAAGCGGGGGACCUUCGGGCCUCGCGCCAUUAGAUGAGCCUAGGUCGGAUUAGCUAGUUGGUGAGGUAAUGGCUCACCAAGGCGACGAUCCGUAACUGGUCUGAGAGGAUGAUCAGUCACA